UACGGGGGGGGCAAGCGUUGUUCGGAAUUACUGGGCGUAAAGGGCUCGUAGGCGGCCAACUAAGUCAGACGUGAAAUCCCUCGGCUUAACCGGGGAACUGCGUCUGAUACUGGAUGGCUUGAGAUUGGGAGAGGGAUGCGGAAUUCCAGGUGUAGCGGUGAAAUGCGCAGAUAUCAGGAGGAACACCGGUGGCGAAGGCGGGUCUCUGGACCGAUACUGACGCUGAGGAGCGAAAGCGUGGGGAGCGAACAGG
rnacentral:rRNA from 1 species